UGAAGAGGAGCUUGCUCCUCUGAUUUAGCGGCGGACGGGUGAGUAACACGUGGGUAAUCUGCCUGUAAGACGGGGAUAACUCCGGGAAACCGGGGCUAAUACCGGAUAAUAAGAAGAAACGCAUGUUUCUUUUUUGAAAGUCGGUUUCGGCUGACACUUACAGAUGAGCCCGCGGCGCAUUAGCUAGUUGGUGAGGUAACGGCUCACCAAGGCGACGAUGCGUAGCCGACCUGAGAGGGUGAUCGGCCACACUGGGACUGAGACACGGCCCAGACUCCUACGGGAGGCAGCAGUAGGGAAUCUUCGGCAAUGGGCGAAAGCCUGACCGAGCAACGCCGCGUGAGCGAUGAAGGCCUUCGGGUCGUAAAGCUCUGUUGUUAGAGAAGAACAAGUACGAGAGUAACUGCUCGUACCUUGACGGUACCUAACCAGAAAGCCACGGCUAACUACGUGCCAGCAGCCGCGGUAAUACGUAGGUGGCAAGCGUUAUCCGGAAUUAUUGGGCGUAAAGCGCGCGCAGGCGGUCUCUUAAGUCUGAUGUGAAAGCCCACGGCUCAACCGUGGAGGGUCAUUGGAAACUGGGAGACUUGAGUGCAGGAGAGAAAAGUGGAAUUCCACGUGUAGCGGUGAAAUGCGUAGA
rnacentral:rRNA from 1 species